UACGUAGGGUGCAAGCGUUGUCCGGAUUUAUUGGGUUUAAAGGGUGCGUAGGUGGCUGAUUAAGUCAUGGGUGAAAGCCCGCAGCUCAACUGUGGAAUUGCCUGUGAUACUGAUUAGCUUGAGUGCGGUUGAGGCAGCUGGAAGUGGUGGUGUAGCGGUGAAAUGCAUAGAUACCACCAGGAACACCGAUUGCGAAGGCAGGUUGCUAAGCCGUAACUGACACUGAGGCACGAAAGCUUGGGGAGCAAACAGG
rnacentral:rRNA from 1 species